rnacentral:rRNA from 1 species
UCGUGGCGACAGCUGUCUAGAUUUAUUUCGGUAACGAGCGAGACCAGAGCCUGCUAUUUGGGCAUCCUCACUUUGGUGGGUGGUGCUCUCAUAGAGGGAUUUCGGGCGCAAGCUCGACGAAAAUGCUGGCAAUAACA